AUUUACAGGCGGUGGCACGAGUAUUUAAAGGCGACGUGGCUGGCUUCAUCCUGCCUAGCGGUUCUUCAAGGUUUAUAAGUUAAAUCAGGAAUUCUAGGUAGCAAAUAUGGAAACCUGCAGAGACCGGGGGUAAUCCUCCUUUAUAUGGAAGCUAUCAAGAUGACAAAUUUUUGAUACACGGUUUAUGAUCUCGUGGCGAAAUACUUAUCAAUUGUGUAUGUAAUUUGGAAGCCAAUAAAUGCAAUAAUCUUGUUAUAGAAUGCUAAUUAAUUUUGUAUUUAAUUUGCGGGAAACAGUAAAUGACGUAAUCUUGUUAUGGAAUACCAACUAAUUUCGUAUGUAAUUUGUGGGAGACAGUAAAUGGCACGAUCUUGUUGCGGAAUGUCAAACAAAUUUGUAGUAUGUCAUUUUUGGGAACCAAUAAAUGCCAUAAUGUUGUCAUGGAAAACUAAUAAAUUUGGUAUGGUAAUUUUCAGGAGCCAAUAACUGACAUAAUCCUGUUAUGGAAUACUAAUUAGUUGUGUAUGGUAUAUUUUGUAGCGAAUAAAUUCAUACCCACAGGAUAUUCCAUGAUGCGCGUAUUAUUGGAGGAUCUUGAUUAAUUACCGCGAACCAUAAAAAGGAAACACUAAUGCAGGAAGUAAUUAAACUGCAAAAAUUGGCACUCGAAGGCGCCUCUAUAUAAACAGCAGCAGAAUGAAAGCACAACACCCAGUACAAAAAAGGACAAUAGGAGAAGGAAUCAAAGAAACAGUAAGAACUUUGCCAUGGCUCCAAUCAACUUAAGGUUUCUGUGCUUUAUGGCUCUUUUGAUGAUCUCAUCCACUUGCAUGUCGAGUCAAGUAUCAGAGAGCAACAUAGGUCUGGAAGCCAAAGCAUGUGUUGGCCGUGAAGCCUACCAGUACAAUUGUACGCCUGAAGGCUGUGUUGUUGCCUGCAAAAAACUGGGCUGCGGAACUGCGGUUUGCCACAAAGAUGGUAGCUGCAUUUGCAGCUAGAUGAGGCUGCUCAGUCCUCAGUGGUUGCUCUAAUUUGUCGCAAGAAAAAGACCCAGAUUAAUAAGCUUAGGACAUAAUGUUGAGCUGUCUUCAAUUCCUUUGAUAAGUUAAAUGGAGAUUCUUUAUUUUCC